GAUGAACGCUGGCGGCGUGCCUAAUACAUGCAAGUCGAGCGAACGGACGAGAAGCUUGCUUCUCUGAUGUUAGCGGCGGACGGGUGAGUAACACGUGGAUAACCUACCUAUAAGACUGGGAUAACUUCGGGAAACCGGAGCUAAUACCGGAUAAUAUUUUGAACCGCAUGGUUCAAAAGUGAAAGACGGUCUUGCUGUCACUUAUAGAUGGAUCCGCGCUGCAUUAGCUAGUUGGUAAGGUAACGGCUUACCAAGGCAACGAUGCAUAGCCGACCUGAGAGGGUGAUCGGCCACACUGGAACUGAGACACGGUCCAGACUCCUACGGGAGGCAGCAGUAGGGAAUCUUCCGCAAUGGGCGAAAGCCUGACGGAGCAACGCCGCGUGAGUGAUGAAGGUCUUCGGAUCGUAAAACUCUGUUAUUAGGGAAGAACAUAUGUGUAAGUAACUGUGCACAUCUUGACGGUACCUAAUCAGAAAGCCACGGCUAACUACGUGCCAGCAGCCGCGGUAAUACGUAGGUGGCAAGCGUUAUCCGGAAUUAUUGGGCGUAAAGCGCGCGUAGGCGGUUUUUUAAGUCUGAUGUGAAAGCCCACGGCUCAACCGUGGAGGGUCAUUGGAAACUGGAAAACUUGAGUGCAGAAGAGGAAAGUGGAAUUCCAUGUGUAGCGGUGAAAUGCGCAGAGAUAUGGAGGAACACCAGUGGCGAAGGCGACUUUCUGGUCUGUAACUGACGCUGGUGUGCGAAAGCGUGGGGAUCAAACAGGAUUAGAUACCCUGGUAGUCCACGCCGUAAACGAUGAGUGCUAAGUGUUAGGGGGUUUCCGCCCCUUAGUGCUGCAGCUAACGCAUUAAGCACUCCGCCUGGGGAGUACGACCGCAAGGUUGAAACUCAAAGGAAUUGACGGGGACCCGCACAAGCGGUGGAGCAUGUGGUUUAAUUCGAAGCAACGCGAAGAACCUUACCAAAUCUUGACAUCCUUUGACAACUCUAGAGAUAGAGCUUUCCCCUUCGGGGGACAAAGUGACAGGUGGUGCAUGGUUGUCGUCAGCUCGUGUCGUGAGAUGUUGGGUUAAGUCCCGCAACGAGCGCAACCCUUAAGCUUAGUUGCCAUCAUUAAGUUGGGCACUCUAAGUUGACUGCCGGUGACAAACCGGAGGAAGGUGGGGAUGACGUCAAAUCAUCAUGCCCCUUAUGAUUUGGGCUACACACGUGCUACAAUGGACAAUACAAAGGGCAGCGAAACCGCGAGGUCAAGCAAAUCCCAUAAAGUUGUUCUCAGUUCGGAUUGUAGUCUGCAACUCGACUACAUGAAGCUGGAAUCGCUAGUAAUCGUAGAUCAGCAUGCUACGGUGAAUACGUUCCCGGGUCU
rnacentral:rRNA from 1 species